GACGAACGCUGGCGGCGUGCUUAACACAUGCAAGUCGAACGGAAAGGCCCUUCGGGGUACUCGAGUGGCGAACGGGUGAGUAACACGUGGGUGAUCUGCCCUGCACUUUGGGAUAAGCCUGGGAAACUGGGUCUAAUACCGAAUAUGAUCAUCGGCUUCAUGGUCGGUGGUGGAAAGCUUUUGCGGUGUGGGAUGGGCCCGCGGCCUAUCAGCUUGUUGGUGGGGUAUUGGCCUACCAAGGCGACGACGGGUAGCCGGCCUGAGAGGGUGACCGGCCACACUGGGACUGAGAUACGGCCCAGGCUCCUACGGGAGGCAACAGUGGGGAAUAUUGCACAAUGGGCGCAAGCCUGAUGCAGCGACGCCGCGUGAGGGAUGACGGCCUUCGGGUUGUAAACCUCUUUCAGCACAGACGAAGCGCAAGUGACGGUAGGUGCAGAAGAAGGACCGGCCAACUACGUG
rnacentral:rRNA from 1 species